rnacentral:rRNA from 1 species
AACGAACGCUGGCGGCAGGCUUAACACAUGCAAGUCGAGCGCCCCGCAAGGGGAGCGGCAGACGGGUGAGUAACGCGUGGGAACGUACCUUUUGGUUCGGAACAACUCCGGGAAACUGGAGCUAAUACCGGAUAAGCCCUAACGGGGAAAGAUUUAUCGCCGAAAGAUCGGCCCGCGUCUGAUUAGCUAGUUGGUGAGGUAACGGCUCACCGAGGCGACGAUCAGUAGCUGGUCUGAGAGGAUGAUCAGCCACACUGGGACUGAGACACGGCCCAGACUCCUACGGGAGGCAGCAGUGGGGAAUAUUGGACAAUGGGCGCAAGCCUGAUCCAGCCAUGCCGCGUGAGUGAUGAAGGCCUUAGGGUUGUAAAGCUCUUUUGUCCGGGAAGAUAAUGACUGUACCGGAAGAAUAAGCCCCGGCUAACUUCGUG